rnacentral:rRNA from 1 species
AGCGAACGCUGGCGGCAGGCCUAACACAUGCAAGUCGAACGGAUCCUUCGGGAUUAGUGGCGGACGGGUGAGUAACACGUGGGAACGUGUCCUUUGGUUCGGAACAACUCAGGGAAACUUGAGCUAAUACCGGAUGUGCCCUUCGGGGGAAAGAUUUAUCGCCAUUGGAGCGGCCCGCGUCUGAUUAGCUAGUUGGUGAGGUAAAGGCUCACCAAGGCGACGAUCAGUAGCUGGUCUGAGAGGAUGAUCAGCCACAUUGGGACUGAGACACGGCCCAAACUCCUACGGGAGGCAGCAGUGGGGAAUCUUGCGCAAUGGGCGAAAGCCUGUCGCAGCCAUGCCGCGUGAAUGAUGAAGGUCUUAGGAUUGUAAAAUUCUUUCACCGGGGACGAUAAUGACGGUACCCGGAGAAGAAGCCCCGGCUAACUUCGUGCCAGCCGCCGCCGUAAAAC